GACCUCGAAUCAGGUAGGACUACCCGCCGAACUUAAGCAUAUCAAUAAGCGGAGGAAAAGAAACCAACAGGGAUUGCCCCAGUAACGGCGAGUGAAGCGGCAACAGCUCAAAUUUGAAAUCUGGCCCCCCGGGGCCCGAGUUGUAAUUUGCAGAGGAUGCUUUUGGCGAGGCGCCUUCCGAGUUCCCUGGAACGGGACGCCACAGAGGGUGAGAGCCCCGUCUGGUUGGAUGCCGAGCCUCUGUAAAGCUCCUUCGACGAGUCGAGUAGUUUGGGAAUGCUGCUCUAAAUGGGAGGUAUAUGUCUUCUAAAGCUAAAUAUUGGCCAGAGACCGAUAGCGCACAAGUAGAGUGAUCGAAAGAU
rnacentral:rRNA from 1 species